rnacentral:tRNA from 1 species
GCCUGGCUGGCUCAGUCAGUAGAGCAUGUGACUCUUGAUCUCAGGGUCAUGAGUUUGAGCCCCACAUCGGGCA